rnacentral:rRNA from 1 species
GACGAACCGAGCGAACGUUAUUCGGAAUCACUGGGCUUAAAGGGCGCGUAGGCGGGCGAUCAAGUCGAGGGUGAAAGCCCCCAGCUCAACUGGGGAAGUGCCUCCGAUACUGGUCGUCUCGAGGGGAGUAGGGGCAUGCGGAACUUCCGGUGGAGCGGUGAAAUGCGUAGAUAUCGGAAGGAACACCGGUGGCGAAAGCGGCGUGCUGGAUCCCUUCUGACGCUGAGGCGCGAAAGCCAGGGGAGCGAACGGG